CCUACGGGUGGCAGCAGUGGGGAAUAUUGCACAAUGGGGGAAACCCUGAUGCAGCGACGCCGCGUGAGUGAAGAAGUCUUUCGUGACGUAAAGCUCUAUCAGCAGGGAAGAAAAUGAGUGUAUUUGACUUUGAACCGUACGUUAACUACGAGCCACGAGUCGCGGCAAUACGUAGGGGGCAAGCGUUAGCCGGAUUUACUGGGUGUAAAGGGAGCGUAGACGGUUGCGGAAGUCUGGAGUGAAAGGCCGGGGCCCAACCCCUGGACUGGUCUGGAAACUGUGUAGCUGGAGUGCAGGAGAGGUAAGUGGAAUUCCUAGUGUAGCGGUGAAAUGCGUAGAUAUUAGGAGGAACACCAGUGGCGAAAGCGGCUUACUGGACUGUAACUGACGUUGAGGCUCGAAAGCGUGGGGAGCAAACAGGAUUAGAUACCCUGGUAGUC
rnacentral:rRNA from 1 species